CCAAUAGCGUAUAUUAAAGUUGUUGCAGUUAAAAAGCUCGUAGUUGAAUUUCGGGGUCAAUAGGUUGGUCGUGCCAAUGGUAUGUACUGGCUUUAUUGAUUCCUACCUCUUGACGAACUGUGAUGCCAUUAAUUUGGUGUUGCAGGAAAUCAGGACUGUUACCUUGAAAAAAUUAGAGUGUUUAAAGCAGGCUUACGCUUGAAUACAUUAGCAUGGAAUAAUGAAAUAGGACGUUUGAACCUAUUUUGUUGGUUUCUAGGAUCGACGUAAUGAUUAAUAGGGAUAGUUGGGGGCAUUAGUAUUCAAUUGUCAGAGGUGAAAUUCUUGGAUUUAUUGAAGACUAACUACUGCGAAAGCAUUUGCCAAGGAUGUUUUCAUUAAUCAAGAACGAAAGUUAGGGGAUCGAAGACGAUCAGAUACCGUCGUAGUCUUAACCAUAAACUAUGCCGACUAGGGAUCGGAUGAUGUUAAUUUUUUAAUGACUCAUUCGGCGCCUUACG
rnacentral:rRNA from 1 species